rnacentral:siRNA from 1 species
CUAAAACACUCUCCAAGGGUUC